GAGGAGCCUGCGGCGGAUUAGCUAGUUGGUAAGGUAACGGCUUACCAAGGCGAUGAUCCGUAGCCGGCCUGAGAGGGCGGUCGGCCACACUGACACUGACAUACGGGUCAGACUCCUACGGGAGGCAGCAGUCGGGAAUUUUGGGCAAUGGGCGAAAGCCUGACCCAGCAACGCCGCGUGAAGGAUGAAAUCCCUCGGGAUGUAAACUUCGCAAGAAUGGGAAGAAUGAGCGAGCGCUAAUACCGUUCGUGAUGACGGUACCAUUUGUAAGCUCCGGCUAACUCCGUGCCAGCAGCCGCGGUAAUACGGGGGGAGCAAGCGUUGUUCGGAUUUACUGGGCGUAAAGGGCGCGUAGGCGGCCAGCGCAAGUCAGUUGUGAAAUCUCCGGGCUUAACUCGGAAAGGUCAACUGAUACUGCGCGGCUAGAGUGCGGAAGGGGCAACUGGAAUUCCCGGUGUAGCGGUGAAAUGCGUAGAUAUCGGGAGG
rnacentral:rRNA from 1 species